GAGGUAUCCAAAUCUGGGAAAAAGAAGGCAGGUGAUGAGGUCUCCAAUGAUGGUAUCCAUUUGAAAAGGAGCCAUGUGAAGAUGCAUUGUACCAAAUGCAAGAAGGAAGGCCACAACAAAAGAAAAUGCCCUGAAGAUCCUGCUAUUAGGGAGAGAUUGGCCAAUCCAAAGAAAAGAGUUAGGGUAAAGGC